rnacentral:rRNA from 1 species
UACGUAGGGGGCAAGCGUUGUCCGGAUUUACUGGGCGUAAAGCGCGCGUAGGCGGAACGAUCAGUCCGGUCUGAAAGCCCCCGGCUCAACCGGGGAGGGUGGCUGGAAACUGUCGUUCUUGAGGGCGAGAGAGGAGGGUGGAAUUCCUGGUGUAGCGGUGAAAUGCGUAGAGAUGCGGAGGAACACCGAUGGCGAAGGCAGCCCCCUGGGCCAACACUGACGCUCAGGCACGAAAGCGUGGGGAGCAAACAGG